CUGCCUCGUGCCUUCGUCCAGGCCAGACGCCCUGGAAGCAUAAGGGACCCCGGCAGCUCAAACAUUCGUGCGGCCAUUGAAUUUGUUGUACUACUGUUUUAGAAAAUCCACUCCAGCUAUUAUAAAUGCGUUUCUUGUUAUUGUUUUCUGUGUGUUUCUCUGUUCAAAUAUAUAAGUUUAGGCAGCCACUAUCUGCAACUUUCAACAUGCAGCAAGGAUACUUGGGUUGGACUAUAAUCUUUGAGAAGAGCCUGUUGAUACCCUUUAGAGAAAUCAAAGUUGACCGCUCAGGUUCUAAAAGACGAUCGUUCUCUUUAAGUCUUUUAUAGUGGAUUUAGAAUCCAACAUGACAAUGCUUGUGGACCUAUGAAAGGCGGAAUUCGUCACCACCCUGAGUUCUAGGUUGAUCCAGAUGAGGUGAAUGUACUCUGGCUCAGCUAAUGACAUGGAAGAGAGAUGUAGCAGAUAUUCCUUAUGGCGCAGCAAACGGUGGAUUUUGCUGCAAUCCUAGAGAGUUUAGUGUAAGGGAUUUUGAACGUCUUACUCAUGUUUUCACCCAGAAAGAUCCAUGAUCUUAUUGGAAUUCAUAGAGAUGUUCCUGCACCUGACAUGGGAACUAAUUUACAAGUAUUCUGUUUCUUGUCUAAUGAAUUGCUUAUCAGUUAUCACCUUAUAUUCUUGACCACUUGUAUUUUCUAUUUAAGGCUACGAAUGCUGUGUUUUUGUUAUUUGUCCCCUUGAUCUCCUGUGAGAGGACCAUUUUUUGUCUCUGUAACGUGGCUCUUUUCGAUUUCAUGCAAGACUCCGAGGGCUCUGCUUUUUGUAAGCUAGUCUCCUUCCUUGAGACUCAUACAGCGAUUAAAUUCCUGCCUUCCAAAAGAAGAGUUAUCACCUUAUAUUCUGUUAGCAAUCAUAUUUCAAUUUUACAUACAGCUGUUUUACUCUCACAUAUUGGACAGACGAUGGCAUGGACUCUGGAUGAACACUCAAAAUUUUAUUUUUCUAUUUAAGUAUCCAAUUUGUGCACUUUCAAUUUCUUUUAAAGGGAAAAUGUUGCUGAUGUGAAGGCAAAGUUUAUCAUAGAAGCCGGAAACCAUCCAACUGAUCCAGAAGCAGAUGAAGAAAGGAGUGGUUACACUUCCUGGCAUCUAGGCAAAUUCUCAUGGUGUGGCUCUUAGUUUCUUUGAAUGGGUUCAGGUUACAACCAAUUAACUUUCCCAGCCUACUCUCGAACAUAAUGGCUCGUUGUGCAUUAAUAACAUGCUUUUUUAGGCAUCGCAGCUUAAACCUCUUUUUCCCUAGUCUAGCACAGUAACAUAGGUUCAUUAGGCAUUAGGAUUUAUGUGGGAAGAAGAAACGGUCAACUAUAAGGUAAAGAGGGACAUGAAGAGAGCUUUCCAUGACACUGAAGCAAUGUGCCAUACUCAUAACUGCAACCCCAGAAUAGGAGCCUUCACCCUAGGA